CGGCGGCGUGCCUAAUACAUGCAAGUCGAACGAACUCUGGUAUUGAUUGGUGCUUGCAUCCUGAUUUACAUUUGAGUGAGUGGCGAACUGGUGAGUAACACGUGGGAAACCUGCCCUAAGAAGCGGGGGAUAACACCUGGAAACAGAUGCUAAUACCGCAUAACAACUUGGACCGCAUGCCAUGGUCCGAGUUUGAAAGAUGGCUUCAGCUAUCACUUUUGGAUGGUCCCGCGGCGUAUUAAUGGGGGAGGAACGGCUCCCCAUGGGAAAGAAACCUAACCCAACUGAAAAGGUAAACCGCCCCAUUGGGACUGAAAACCCGCCCAAACUCCUACCGGAAGGAACAAUAAGGAAUCUUCCACAAUGGACCAAAGUCCGAAGGAACAACCCCCCGGGAAUGAAGAAAGGUUUCCGCUCCUAACGUAAAACUCUGUUGUUAAAGAAGAACAUAUCUGAAAAUAACUGUUCAGGUAUUGACGGUACCCGAAAGCCACGGCUAACUACGUGCCAACCGCCGCGGUAAUACCUAAGUGGCAAGCGUUGUCCGGAAUUAUUGGGCGUAAAGCGAGCGCAAGGGGUUUUUUAAGUCCGAAGGGAAAGCCCUCCGCUCAACCGAAGAAGUGCAUCCGAAACUGGGAAACUUGAGUGCAGAAGAAGACAGUGGAACUCCCUGUGUAACGGUGAAAUGCCUAGAUAUAUGGAAGAACACCAGUGGCCAAAGCCGCUGGCUGGUCUGGAACUGACGCUGAAGCUCCAAAGUAUGGGUAACAGACAGGAUUAGAUACCCUGGUAGUCCAUACCGUAAACGAUGAAUGCUAAGUGUUUGGAAGGGUUUCCGCCCUUCAGUGGUGCAGAUAACGCAUUAAGCAUUCCGCCUGGGGAGUACGGCCGCAAGGCUGAAACUCAAAGGAAUUGACGGGGGCCCGCACAAGCGGUGGGAACCUG
rnacentral:rRNA from 1 species